UGGGGGAUAUUGCACAAUGGGGGGAAACCCUGAUGCAGCGACGCCGCGUGAGGGAAGACGGUCCUCUGGAUUGUAAACCUCUGUCUUCGGGGACGAAAGAAGACGGUACCCGAGGAGGAAGCCACGGCUAACUACGUGCCAGCAGCCGCGGUAAAACGUAGGUGGCAAGCGUUGUCCGGAAUUACUGGGUGUAAAGGGAGCGCAGGCGGAAGGACAAGUUGGAAGUGAAACCCACGGGCUCAACCCGUGAACUGCUUUCAAAACUGUUUUUCUUGAGUGGUGUAGAGGUAGGCGGAAUUCCCGGUGUAGCGGUGGAAUGCGUAGAUAUCGGGAGGAACACCAGUGGCGAAGGCGGCCUACUGGGCACUAACUGACGCUGAGGCUCG
rnacentral:rRNA from 1 species